rnacentral:rRNA from 1 species
GACAGAGGUGCCAAGCGUUAGGCGGAAUCACUGGGCUUAAAGCGUGUGUAGGCGGAUUUGUAAGUACCUUGUGAAAUCCCACGGCUCAACCGUGGAACUGCUCGGUAUACUGCUUAUCUUGAGCCACUUAGGGGCUACCGGAACAAAUGGUGGAGCGGUGAAAUGCGUAGAUAUCGAGAGGAACACCUGCGGCGAAGGCGGGUUGCUGGGCUGAUACUGACGCUGAGGCGCGAAAGCCAGGGGAGCGAACGGG